GACGAACGCUGGCGGCGUGCCUAACACAUGCAAGUCGAACGGACAGGCCCUGCUUUUGUUGGUUGCUCGAUUGGCGAACACGUGUGUAACACGUGAGUAACCCGCCCUUGACUUUGUGAUAACUUCUCGAAACUGCGGCUAUUAUCCCAUAUGAUCUCCUGCUGCAUGUUGUGCGUUGGAAAGUUUCGGCGGUUCGGUCUGGACUCGCGGCUUACCAGCUUGUUGGUGGGGUAGUGGCUUACCAAGGGUUUGACGGCUAGGCGACCUGGGAGGUUGGACGGCGACAAUAGGACUGAGAGACGGAGCAGAAGCGAAAGGGAGGCAGAAGUGGAGAGCAUUGCAGAAUGAGCGGAAGCCAGAGACAGAAACGCCGCGAGCGGGAUGACGGGCUUCGGGGUGUAAACCGAUGUCGAAUGUGACGAGGAGUGAGUGACGGUAAUGGGUAAAGAAGCAACGGCUAACUACGUG
rnacentral:rRNA from 1 species